UACGUAGGGGGCAAGCGUUGUCCGGAAUUAUUGGGCGUAAAGAGCGCGUAGGCGGUCCGAUAAGUCGGCUGUGAAAGUCAGGGGCUCAACCCUUGAAAGCCGGCCGAUACUGUCGGACUAGAGUCCGGAAGAGGCGAGUGGAAUUCCCGGUGUAGCGGUGAAAUGCGUAGAGAUCCGGAAGAACACCGGUGGCGAAGGCGGUCUGCUGGGCAGUUGCUGACGCUGAUGCGCGACAGCGUGGGGAGCAAACAGG
rnacentral:rRNA from 1 species